UACGUAGGCAGCGAGCGUUGUUCGGAGUUACUGGGCGUAAAGGGUGUGUAGGCGGUUGUUUAAGUUUGGUGUGAAAUCUCCCGGCUCAACUGGGAGGGUGCGCCGAAUACUGAAUGACUAGAAUGCGGGAGAGGAAAGUGGAAUUCCUGGUGUAGCGGUGAAAUGCGUAGAUAUCAGGAAGAACACCAAUGGCGAAAGCAGCUUUCUGGGACGGUACUGACGCUGAGACGCGAAAGCGUGGGGAGCGAACAGG
rnacentral:rRNA from 1 species